AACGAACGCUGGCGGCAGGCUUAACACAUGCAAGUCGAGCGCACUCUUCGGAGUGAGCGGCGGACGGGUUAGUAACGCGUGGGAACGUGCCCUUCUCUAAGGAAUAGCCUCUGGAAACGGAGAGUAAUACCUUAUACGCCCUUUGGGGGAAAGAUUUAUCGGAGAAGGAUCGGCCCGCGUUAGAUUAGAUAGUUGGUGGGGUAAUGGCCUACCAAGUCUACGAUCUAUAGCUGGUUUGAGAGGAUGAUCAGCAACACUGGGACUGAGACACGGCCCAGACUUCUACGGAAGGCAGCAGUGGGGAAUCUUGGACAAUGGGCGCAAGCCUGAUCCAGCCAUGCCGCGUGAGUGAUGAAGGCCUUAGGGUCGUAAAGCUCUUUCACCAGGGAUGAUAAUGACAGUACCUGGAAAAGAAACCCCGGCUAACUCCGUGCCAGCAGCCGCGGUAAUACGGAGGGGGUUAGCGUUGUUCGGAAUUACUGGGCGUAAAGCGCACGUAGGCGGACUAAUCAGUCAGAGGUGAAAUCCCAGGGCUCAACCCUGGAACUGCCUUUGAUACUGUUAGUCUAGAGUUCGAGAGAGGUGAGUGGAAUUCCGAGUGUAGAGGUGAAAUUCGUAGAUAUUCGGAGGAACACCAGUGGCGAAGGCGGCUCACUGGCUCGAUACUGACGCUGAGGUGCGAAAGUGUGGGGAGCAAACAGGAUUAGAUACCCUGGUAGUCCACACCGUAAACGAUGAAUGCCAGUCGUCGGGUAGUAUACUAUUCGGUGACACACCUAACGGAUUAAGCAUUCCGCCUGGGGAGUACGGUCGCAAGAUUAAAACUCAAAGGAAUCGACGGGGGCCCGCACAAGCGGUGGAGCAUGUGGUUUAAUUCGAAGCAACGCGCAGAACCUUACCAACCCUUGACAUCCUGUGCUAACCCGAGAGAUCG
rnacentral:rRNA from 1 species